AGUUGUAACAUUGAGAAGAAUUGUUUGUAGUAAAGCAAGAAUAAGAAGAGAUGGCGCGCACAAAAAUUGUGGUUGGGGGAAAUUCUGAUGUUAUCUCACAACAAUCCAUCCAGCGAUUGCUUAGUGGUGUAAGAGGAUUUCAGAGCGUUGAGAGGGUUGAGGGGAGGACAGUUAUCGUAAUACACGAUGCAGGAUCCCAAGAUCGGAUAGUUAUUGAGCUCAGGAGAACAUAUAGAAAUGCUCAAGCUACAGAUACGGCAGAAUAGAGUGUGGAAGCGCCGUUUGGGACUCGAAAUUAUUCUCUGAUCAUCAUGGAAUUAUGAAUUAGUAUCUCACUUCAUAGACUGUUAUUGUUAUUCUGUGUGAAAUGUCCAGCUAAAAAUAAAAGCAUCCUGGUGAAAGUUUGUGUUUUGGGAUGCCUUUAUAUUUAUGAAAUAAUUUUCUGAUAUAAGAUAUCUUAUUUUAUAGUAUAUGUAAAUAGAAUACUAUAAUACAUGUGAAUAAUUUUAGUC